UUAAGAGUUGCAGUACCAAAAUGCGCAGACGCCAAGUUGGAGGCUACGACUUCAGUUUAGUAAGGAGAUAAAGGCUCCUUAGAAAGUGGGAUCCCAGGCCUUCUCCUACUCUUCAUUGGUUCUCCUGGGACAGAGUUGUCUAACUGACAAGUGAAGCCCACGUGAGGCCUAAGCUUGUUCUUGGGCUACUGUGUAGACUACCCAGGCAAGGGUUGAGGCAAGGGUGGGUGGCUUAUGCAGCACUGUGUCUGUAGGACCAAACUCUGCUAAUAGGUUAGGAGGGGCGAUUGGGUUUGCACAGUGAGCUUACCCUGUAAGCUCAAAUCAAGAUUCCAGAGUUUACUCCUUAGGGAACCACAGCAUCAAAUCUCCAGAAACUGCCCCUGUGGGGCAGUGUUCAUUUACCUCCCACUUGUUUUUGGUGUCCUGGCUGCGUACCAACCUUCCUGAGGCUACACUGUCCUUGUGAAUUAUUCAAGAGGCCUUGCAGCCUGACAUCAUCUCUGGGCAGUGCCUCUCCCUUUUCCCAUUCCUGGAGGGCAUCUUGCUGCUCCCACAGUUGUAGGAACCUAAAACUCUUUUAUGAGUAGGGAUUAUUUUGGUUUUAAUUUUCGAGACAGGGUGUUUCUACCCUGUUCUGCCUGGCCUUGGACGUUCGACCAUCCUGCUGCCUCAGCCUCUCAGUGAGAUUACAGGGGUGAUCCACCAGGACUGGCAUACUAGUGUUAGUUAAAGAUGGAUACACUGUGUCAGGGAUACUGAGUAAAUUCCUGAUCUGGAAUUUGUCUUCUAUGAGGACGGGGUAGCAUCCACAUCCUGUAUCUCACAGCUGCUGAUAACUCCAGGGACACCAGACUGAGGAGUGGCACUAUUAGGAGGUGUAGCCUUGUUGGAGUAGGUGUGUCACUGUGGACAUGGGCUUAAUACCCUCAUCCUAGCUGCCUGGAAAUCAGUAUUCUGCUAGAAGCCUUCAGAUGAAGAUGUAGAACUCUCAGCUCUGUCUGCACCAUGCCUGCCUGGAUGCUGCCAUGUUCCUGCCUGGAUGAUACUGGACUGAACCCCUGAACCUCUUUCGGGAGAUGGGAGAUGGAGACGAGGACAGGAGAAAGAGAUGCCUUUUGACUUAGGCCAGCAAUGUCCAGCAAUGCAGGUGCAUCGAGCACACGUGCGGCAGAGAAGUGGCUUCUGGAAGCAGGAAGAAGCUUCAGCAGAAGAGCGCAGAAACCCAAAAUUUCCGGGAAAAUAUACUUAGAUGGUUUUAUUGUUGUUUAUGGAUUUGUUUAUUUGCUUGUUUGGGGGGGGACUAAGAGAUGACUUAUUCUGGAGCCACAAUGCAUGACCAUGGCCCAGGGACAAGGAUUAGGUUACCCCAACUCCCAUAGACCAGCAUGGAAGUAGUCUCAUGGUUUCCCAGAAAGUCAUACUUCAGGGGCUGGAGAGAUGGCUCAGCGGUUAAGAGCACUGACUGCCCUUCCAGAGGUCCUGAGUUCAAAUCCCAGCAACCACAUGGUGGCUCACAACCAUCUGUAAUGGGAUCCAGUGCCCUCUUCUGGUGUGUCUGAAAACAGCUGUAGUGUAUCCAUAUACAUAAAAUAAGUAAAUAAAAAAAAAAAGUCAUACAUCAA